rnacentral:rRNA from 1 species
GACGAACUCUGGCGGCGUGCCUAAUACAUGCAAGUCGAACGCAGUGGGGACGGGGGAGUUACACGUGGGUAACCUCCCAUCAGAGGGGAUAACACUUGGAAACAGGUGCUAAACCGAUACUGAUGGAUGGACCCGCGGUGCAUUAGCUAGUUGGUGAGGUAACGGCUCACCAAGGCCACGAUGCAUAGCGGGCCGGAGAGGAUGAUCGGCCAAACUGGGACGGAGACACGGCCCAGACUCCUACGGGAGGCAGCAGUAGGGAAUGUUGGGCAAUGGACGAAAGUCUGACCGAGCAACGCCGCGUGAGUGAAGAAGGUUUUCGGGUCGUAAAGCUCUGUUGUUAGAGAAGCGGUAUCUAACCAGAAAGCCACGGCUAACUACGUGCCAGCAGCCGCGGUAAUAC